rnacentral:rRNA from 1 species
UACAGAGGUCUCAAGCGUUGCUCGGAAUCACUGGGCGUAAAGCGCACGUAGGCGGAUUCCUAAGUCGGGGGUGAAAUCCUGGAGCUCAACUCCAGAACUGCCUUCGAUACUGGGAAUCUUGAGUCCGGGAGAGGUGAGUGGAACUGCGAGUGUAGAGGUGAAAUUCGUAGAUAUUCGCAAGAACACCAGUGGCGAAGGCGGCUCACUGGCCCGGUACUGACGCUGAGGUGCGAAAGCGUGGGAGCAACAGG